UAUUUCACCGCUUUCGUUUCUACUCAAGAAU
rnacentral:piRNA from 1 species